rnacentral:rRNA from 1 species
GAUGAACGCUGGCGGCGUGCCUAAUACAUGCAAGUCGAGCGAACAGACAAGGAGCUUGCUCCCUUGACGUUAGCGGCGGACGGGUGAGUAACACGUGGGUAACCUACCUAUAAGACUGGGAUAACUUCGGGAAACCGGAGCUAAUACCGGAUAAUAUUUCGAACCGCAUGGUUCGAUAGUGAAAGAUGGUUUUGCUAUCACUUAUAGAUGGACCCGCGCCGUAUUAGCUAGUUGGUAAGGUAACGGCUUACCAAGGCGACGAUACGUAGCCGACCUGAGAGGGUGAUCGGCCACACUGGAACUGAGACACGGUCCAGACUCCUACGGGAGGCAGCAGUAGGGAAUCUUCCGCAAUGGGCGAAAGCCUGACGGAGCAACGCCGCGUGAGUGAUGAAGGUCUUCGGAUCGUAAAACUCUGUUAUUAGGGAAGAACAUACGUGUAAGUAACUAUGCACGUCUUGACGGUACCUAAUCAGAAAGCCACGGCUAACUACGUGCCAGCAGCCGCGGUAAUACGUAGGUGGCAAGCGUUAUCCGGAAUUAUUGGGCGUAAAGCGCGCGUAGGCGGUUUUUUAAGUCUGAUGUGAAAGCCCACGGCUCGACCGUGGAGGGUCAUUGGAAACUGGAAAACUUGAGUGCAGAAGAGGAAAGUGGAAUUCCAUGUGUAGCGGUGAAAUGCGCAGAGAUAUGGAGGAACACCAGUGGCGAAGGCGACUUUCUGGUCUGUAACUGACGCUGACGUGCGAAAGCGUGGGGAUCAAACAGGAUUAGAUACCCUGGUAGUCCACGCCGUAAACGAUGAGUGCUAAGUGUUAGGGGGUUUCCGCCCCUUAGUGCUGCAGCUAACGCAUUAAGCACUCCGCCUGGGGAGUACGACCGCAAGGUUGAAACUCAAAGGAAUUGACGGGGACCCGCACAAGCGGUGGAGCAUGUGGUUUAAUUCGAAGCAACGCGAAGAACCUUACCAAAUCUUGACAUCCUUUGACAACUCUAGAGAUAGAGCCUUCCCCUUCGGGGGACAAAGUGACAGGUGGUGCAUGGUUGUCGUCAGCUCGUGUCGUGAGAUGUUGGGUUAAGUCCCGCAACGAGCGCAACCCUUAAGCUUAGUUGCCAUCAUUAAGUUGGGCACUCUAAGUUGACUGCCGGUGACAAACCGGAGGAAGGUGGGGAUGACGUCAAAUCAUCAUGCCCCUUAUGAUUUGGGCUACACACGUGCUACAAUGGACAAUACAAAGGGCAGCGAAACCGCGAGGUCAAGCAAAUCCCAUAAAGUUGUUCUCAGUUCGGAUUGUAGUCUGCAACUCGACUACAUGAAGCUGGAAUCGCUAGUAAUCGUAGAUCAGCAUGCUACGGUGAAUACGUUCCCGGGUCU